GUGUUAUUCAUCUUCCUUACAAGAAGGAAAGAUACGAGAGUUCAAAGGUGAAAUCUUCAAAAAAAAAAAAAUGGCUUCUCACGUCUACCAACAUUUUUUCUUUACAAUUUUAUGCAUUGCUUUGAUCAUGUCUUCAGGACCAGCAACAUGCCUGAAUGAGGAGGAUCCGAGGAUGAAGGCUUGUAUAGGGCCAUGUAAUGUGGAAACUUGUAACGAAGAAUGCAUUAGCAAUGGCUACCAGACUGGCCUAUGUUUGGGAUUAGUUGUGUGUUGUUGUGAGAAUAAUUGACGACUCUAUCUUGUACCCUUUCGCAAGUCCUGUAUGAAAAAAUAAUGCAUUUCUUUUAAAGUAAUAAUAAAAAGAUUAUAAUCUACAUCGGUUUUAGAUGAACCGAUAUAGAUUUAUCUCCCUUUCUACA